rnacentral:rRNA from 1 species
UCGAGAAUAUUUGGCAAUGGGCGAAAGCCUGACCAUGCGACGCCGCGUGAAGGAUGAAGUCCCUCGGGACGUAAACUUCUUUUAUGAGGGAGGAAAUUAUUGACGUUACCUCAUGAAUAAGGGGCUCCUAACUCUGUGCCAGCAGGAGCGGUAAUACAGAGGCCCCAAGCGUUAUCCGGAAUCAUUGGGCGUAAAGGGUGUGUAGGAGGUUGUAUUAGUCUCCAGUCAAAACCCCGGGCUUAACCCGGGAUCCGCAGGAGAAACGGUACAACUAGAGGAUGCGAGAGGUAUAUGGAACUCAUGGUGUAGGGGUGAAAUCCGUUGAUAUCAUGGGGAACACCGAAAGCGAAGGCAAUAUACUGGCGCACUCCUGACUCUGAAACACGAAAGCGUGGGUAGC